rnacentral:rRNA from 1 species
AUUGAACGCUGGCGGUAUGCUUAACAUAUGCAAGUCGAACGGCAGCACGGUAUGUAGCAAUACAUAUGGGUGGCAAGUGGCGGACGGGUGAGUAACGCGUAGGAAUCUGCCCUCAAGCGGGGGACAACCCGAGGAAACUCGGGCUAAUACCGCAUAAACUCGGAAGAGAAAAGCUGGGGUAACCUGGCACUUGAGGAGGAGCCUGCGUCUGAUUAGCUAGUUGGUAGGGUAAAGGCCUACCAAGGCGAUGAUCAGUAGCUGGUCUGAGAGGAUGACCGGCCACACUGGAACUGAGACACGGUCCAGACUCCUACGGGAGGCAGCAGUGGGGAAUAUUGGACAAUGGGGGAAACCCUGAUCCAGCAAUACCGCGUGUGUGAAGAAGGCCUUCGGGUUGUAAAGCACUUUAGUUGGGGAGGAAGGUUAGCAGUUUAAGAGAUGGCUAAUUUGACUGUACCCAAAGAAUAAGCACCGGCUAACUCUGUGCCAGCAGCCGCCGCGG